rnacentral:lncRNA from 1 species
AGUACGUGAAAGGUAGGAAUAUGCAUGAAAAACCCUAAAAUAGAUAAAUUACUGAAAUACCUUUAAAAGUGGAAAAUUUAUAGUUUUACCCUUAGGAGAUAAAUUACCGAAAUACCCCUAGGGUUAAAUUGACUUAAAUGCAUGUUUGACUGUUGUUAUUUACUGCAUGCCAUGUUGUUAUUAUCUGAUGCAUGGGAUUGGG